rnacentral:rRNA from 1 species
CGGCGGACGGGUGAGUAACACGUGGGUAACCUACCUAUAAGACUGGAAUAACUCCGGGAAACCGGGGCUAAUGCCGGAUAACAUUUAGAACCGCAUGGUUCUAAAGUGAAAGAUGGUUUUGCUAUCACUUAUAGAUGGACCCGCGCCGUAUUAGCUAGUUGGUAAGGUAACGGCUUACCAAGGCAACGAUACGUAGCCGACCUGAGAGGGUGAUCGGCCACACUGGAACUGAGACACGGUCCAGACUCCUACGGGAGGCAGCAGUAGGGAAUCUUCCGCAAUGGGCGAAAGCCUGACGGAGCAACGCCGCGUGAGUGAUGAAGGUCUUCGGAUCGUAAAACUCUGUUAUUAGGGAAGAACAAAUGUGUAAGUAACUAUGCACGUCUUGACGGUACCUAAUCAGAAAGCCACGGCUAACUACGUGCCAGCAGCCGCGGUAAUACGUAGGUGGCAAGCGUUAUCCGGAAUUAUUGGGCGUAAAGCGCGCGUAGGCGGUUUCUUAAGUCUGAUGUGAAAGCCCACGGCUCAACCGUGGAGGGUCAUUGGAAACUGGGAAACUUGAGUGCAGAAGAGGAAAGUGGAAUUCCAUGUGUAGCGGUGAAAUGCGCAGAGAUAUGGAGGAACACCAGUGGC